GUGCCAGCAGCCGCGGUAAUACGGAGGGUGCAAGCGUUAAUCGGAAUUACUGGGCGUAAAGCGCACGCAGGCGGUUUGUUAAGUCAGAUGUGAAAUCCCCGCGCUUAACGUGGGAACUGCAUUUGAAACUGGCAAGCUAGAGUCUCGUAGAGGGGGGUAGAAUUCCAGGUGUAGCGGUGAAAUGCGUAGAGAUCUGGAGGAAUACCGGUGGCGAAGGCGGCCCCCUGGACGAAGACUGACGCUCAGGUGCGAAAGCGUGGGGGAGCAAACAGGAUUAGAUACCCUGGUAGUCC
rnacentral:rRNA from 1 species